rnacentral:rRNA from 1 species
GCGUGAGAAUCUGCCCUCAGGAGGGGGAUAACGGCUGGAAACGGCCGCUAAUACCCCAUAUGCCGCGAGGUGAAAUGAAUUUCGCCUGAGGAUGAGCUCGCGUCUGAUUAGCUAGUUGGUGGGGUAAGAGCCUACCAAGGCAUCGAUCAGUAGCUGGUCUGAGAGGAUGAUCAGCUACACUGGGACUGAGACACGGCCCAGACUCCUACGGGAGGCAGCAGUUGGGAAUUUUCCGCAAUGGGCGAAAGCCUGACGGAGCAACGCCGCGUGAGGGAUGAAGGCCUCUGGGCUGUAAACCUCUUUUAUCAAGGAAGAAGAUCUGACGGUACUUGAUGAAUAAGCCACGGCUAAUUCCGUGCCAGCAGCCGCGGUAAUACGGGAGUGGCAAGCGUUAUCCGGAAUUAUUGGGCGUAAAGCGUCCGCAGGCGGUCUUGUAAGUCUGUCGUUAAAGCGUGGAGCUUAACUCCAUUUAAGCGAUGG